rnacentral:rRNA from 1 species
ACGCGUGGGAAUAUACCCUUCACUAUGGAAUAGCCUCGGGAAACUGAGAGUAAUACCAUAUACGCCCUUCGGGGGAAAGAUUUAUCGGUGAAGGAUUAGCCCGCGUAAGAUUAGAUAGUUGGUGGGGUAAUGGCCUACCAAGUCUACGAUCUUUAGCUGGUUUGAGAGGAUGAUCAGCAACACUGGGACUGAGACACGGCCCAGACUCCUACGGGAGGCAGCAGUGGGGAAUCUUAGACAAUGGGCGCAAGCCUGAUCUAGCCAUGCCGCGUGAGUGACGAAGGUCUUAGGAUCGUAAA